rnacentral:rRNA from 1 species
GUGCCAGCAGCCGCGGUAAUACGUAGGGUCCAAACGUUAUCCGGAAUUAUUGGGCGUAAAGAGUUCGUAGGUGGUAUUGUAAGUUGGGUAUGAAAGCCCUCGGCUCAACCGAGGAACUGUACCCAAAACUGCAUUACUUGUGGUUUGCAGGGGCAGAUGGAAUUCAUAGUGUAGCAGUGGAAUGCGUAGAUAUUAUGAAGAACACCAAUGGCGAAGGCAGUCUGCUAGGCUCAUCCAGACACUGAGGAACGAAAGCGUGGGUAGCGAACGGGAUUAGAUACCCUUGUAGUCC